rnacentral:rRNA from 1 species
AAUUUUGGACAAUGGGGGCAACCCUGAUCCAGCCAUCCCGCGUGUGCGAUGAAGGCCUNCGGGUUNUNAAGCACUUUUGGCAGGGNCGAAAAGCCGCGGGUUAAUACCCUGGGUGGAUGACGGUACCUGCAGAAUAAGCACCGGCUAACUACGUGCCAGCAGCCGCGGUAAUACGUAGGGUGCAAGCGUUAAUCGGAAUUACUGGGCGUAAAGCGUGCGCAGGCGGUUCGGAAAGAAAGAUGUGAAAUCCCAGGGCUCAACCUUGGAAUGGCAUUUUUAACUCCCGAACUAGAGUGUGUCAGAGGGGGGUGGAAUUCCGCGUGUAGCAGUGAAAUGCGUAGAGAUGCGGAGGAACACCGAUGGCGAAGGCAGCCCCCUGGGAUAACACUGACGCUCAGGCACGAAAGCGUGGGGAGCAAAC